rnacentral:rRNA from 1 species
GUGUCAGCAGCCGCGGUAAGACGGAGGGUGCUAGCGUUGUUCGGAAUCACUGGGCGUAAAGGGCGCGUAGGCGGCCGCCCGCGUCGGACGUGAAAGCCCGGGGCUCAACCCCGGAACGGCGUCCGAUACGGGGCGGCUCGAGGCCGGGAGAGGGGGGUGGAAUACCCAGUGUAGAGGUGAAAUUCGUAGAUAUUGGGUGGAACACCGGUGGCGAAAGCGGCCCCCUGGCCCGGUCCUGACGCUGAGGCGCGAAAGCGUGGGGAGCAAACAGGAUUAGAUACCCCAGUAGUCC